CCUACGGGAGGCUGCAGUGGGGAAUAUUGGACAAUGGGCGAAAGCCUGAUCCAGCCAUGCCGCGUGUGUGAAGAAGGCCUUCGGGUUGUAAAGCACUUUCAGUGGGGAAGAAAGCCUUGGGGCUAAUACCCUCGAGGAAGGACAUCACCCACAGAAGAAGCACCGGCUAACUCCGUGCCAGCAGCCGCGGUAAUACGGAGGGUGCGAGCGUUAAUCGGAAUUACUGGGCGUAAAGCGCGCGUAGGCGGUCUGAUAAGCCGGUUGUGAAAGCCCCGGGCUCAACCUGGGAACGGCAUCCGGAACUGUCAGGCUAGAGUGCAGGAGAGGAAGGUAGAAUUCCCGGUGUAGCGGUGAAAUGCGUAGAGAUCGGGAGGAAUACCAGUGGCGAAGGGGGCCUUCUGGACUGACACUGACGCUGAGGUGCGAAAGCGUGGGUAGCAAACAGGAUUAGAUACCCCUGUAGUC
rnacentral:rRNA from 1 species